GUAAAUGAGUGGGCUAGCUACUAGGACAGCAAUUUUUGCAGAUGGGUGUCUCAGAUUCACCAUUUUUAAGACCCCUUUCUCUUUCUCUCACUGCUCCUGAUCUAGCUCUAUCUUCUUGGUUUGAGAACUGCUGCCUCCUAGUAUAUAUUGAACGAUCGAUCGAGGAAGGUGUGUGUUGAGCUAGAUGGAGAAGCAGGGCACGUGCAUUACUAACUCAUGAUAGGCGCACUCACACUGGCAUAUACAUGUUAAUGUCUUGCUGGAGUUAUGAAUUCUUGCUAGUUAAAGAUCGAAGGUUUUCGAUAGCUAGCUAGCUAGUUCCUGUGAUGAGUUAGCUCUUCAUGUGCCCAUCUUCCCCAUCAUGACCACAGCACCUUAAUUAUAUAUGUUCAUUUGUUGGAGUCUAAGAGCCAGCUAGCUGCAAGAAGAAGAAGACUAUCCCAGAAAUCAUGCAUCCUGAUCAUGGAAUUUCUGAGCCAAUAAUUCAGAUUAAAGAAGCUCCAAGUUCCGGGCCAAAUCAAUGUAACAUUGACAGCAAAGUAGCCUAAAGAAGGUAACAAGACAAGAGCAAGCAUGGCCGGUGAUUAGCCAGACUGGAGAUCAUGAGUAUUAUUCAGGUUAAUGAAGGGGCCGGGAAAUCUCUUAAAUUUCUUAUAAACUUUAAGCCAUAUAUAUGCUUUAUGAUCAUAUAUAUAAUUUCUUUACUUUUCUUUA